rnacentral:rRNA from 1 species
UGUAAGCGUAUACCAAAGUUGUUGCAGUUAAAACGCUCGUAGUCGGACUUUGGCAGUUCCGGAUGUGUGCACGUCGUGUGCGCACUUCGCGGGGAUUGCUUUUGUGGUCUUGCGUAGGAUGAGGCACUUUUAUUAGUGAACGUCCUCACGCAACCACUUUUUACUGUGAGAAAAUCAGAGUGCUCAAAGCAGGCAUUUGCCGUGAAUGUAUUAGCAUGGAAUAAUAGAAUAGGACUUGGUUCUAUUUUGUUGGUUUGUUGGGACUGAGUAAUGAUUAAGAGGGACAGUUGGGGGCAUUUGUAUUUCGGUGCUAGAGGUGAAAUUCUUAGAUUGCCGAAAGACAAACUGCUGCGAAAGCGUCUGCCAAGGAUGUUUUCAUUGA